rnacentral:lncRNA from 10 species
GCAUUUGGAUAAUUAAGAUUCUUCCUGGGUGAAGAGCAACAGUCCCUUCUUUCUGAAUGACUGAAGAUUUAAGAGCUCUGCAUGCCCUGAACUACACUGUCCUGCGGUGAGGCUUUGUUUUCCCUUGUUCUGGUCCUGCUGGACCUAGAGAUUGGGGUGCGAAGGUGCUUAGGGUGCAACAAAGGAAAGAAUUGAGCAGGCCUGGACAAUGUCACCUCACCAAAGCGGGGGCAGAAGGCAGCAGAGGAAAGGUGCUUAGUGCAAGCCUAAGGAUCUUGUAAGCCUUUGUAGCCCGGACUCUGACCAGCCUGUUGUUUCUUUAACAUCCUGCAUUCAAGUAUUUGAUGCAAAUAUGAUUGCCUCUAGGCAAGAGAAUAUAAAUAUUUGCCGAAUGUAUAAUUGAAUGGAAAAAAUAGCUGUGUAAGUGAGGACAGCGAUGAUCUCUUCUUGCCUUCUUCUCUUUGUCCUGCUCCCUCUCCUUUCUUCCUUGGUUUUCAAAGAAUUCAAAACAAAACAAAACAAAACAAAACAAAAUGUAGAAACCUGUUUUGUCCUGGGAGUGUAGUUUCACCAGCUCCCUGCUGUUCCAGUCUAUCCAAGCUGUCAAUCAAAGCAAACAACAGAAGUUGGCUAGCAUUCAAAGGAAAAAUGUGUUUUAUUACACAUUUUGACAUAUGUUGGAUGAUUUAGUAAGAUCAUGGUGCCUUGUCUCAUUUUCGAAGACUUCCUGAGUUCAUUUUUUUUUCUUUUUUUCAUAACUUUCAUUGAACUUUUAAUGGCCUUUUUGUAUUUUUCUCAUGGAGGAUGCUUCAUU